rnacentral:rRNA from 1 species
GACGAACGCUGGCGGCGUGCUUAACACAUGCAAGUCGAACGGAAAGGCCCUGCUUGCAGGGUACUCGAGUUGCGAACGGGUGAGUAAGACACGGGUGGUCUGCCCUGCUCUUCGGGAUAGGCCUCGGCAACAGGGUGUAAUACCGGAUAGGAGAUAUUUUGAGUGUGAUGGUUGGAAAGUUUUUUCGGUUUAGGCUGAGCUCGCGGCCUAACGGCUUGUUGGGGUGGUAAUGGCCUACCGAGACGGCUAGGGGUAGCACGACUGAGAGGGUGGACGGCCACAUUGGGACUGAGGUACGGCACAGGCACCGACGGGAGGGAAAAGGGGGGAAUCUUGACGGAUGGGCGCAAGCCGGAUGCAGAGACGCCGCGUGGGGGAUGACGGUCUUAGGGUUGAAAAAUACAUUCGCUAGGGACGAAGCUUUUCGUGACGGUACCUAGACAAGAAGCACCGGCUAACUACGUG